rnacentral:tRNA from 1 species
GGGGUUGUGGCUCAGUGGUAGAGCACUUGCCUAGCACAUGCAAGGCCCUGGGUUCAAUCCUCAGAACCACA